rnacentral:lncRNA from 1 species
GGAGGGCGAAUUUUAGUCAAUGAGAGAUUUUCUACAAAUGUCCCAGGUGUUUAUGCAAUCGGGGACGUUAUUCCUGGACCUAUGUUAGCCCACAAGGCAGAAGAGGAUGGGGUUGCAUGCGUGGAGUACCUUGCUGGUAAGGUUGGGCAUGUGGACUAUGACUUGGUCCCUGGGGUUGUCUAUACGCACCCUGAAGUUGCAUCUGUUGGAAAGACCGAGGAACAAGUGAAGUCCCUUGGUGUUGAAUACCGAGUUGGAAAGUUCCCUUUCAUGGCAAAUA